CGCGUAGGCUGCUUUGCAAGUCGAAGGUGAAAUCCCUCAGCUCAACUGAGGAACUGCCUGCGAUACUGCAAGGCUUGAGUCCCGGAGAGGGUAGCGGAAUUCCCAGUGUAGCGGUGAAAUGCGUAGAUACGUGGGGGGAACACCGGUGGCGAAGGCGGCUACCUGGACGGGUACUGACGCUGAGGCGCGAAAGCGUGGGGAGCAAACA
rnacentral:rRNA from 1 species